rnacentral:rRNA from 1 species
UACGAAGGGGGCUAGCGUUGCUCGGAAUCACUGGGCGUAAAGGGUGCGUAGGCGGGUCUUUAAGUCAGGGGUGAAAUCCUGGAGCUCAACUCCAGAACUGCCUUUGAUACUGGAGGGCUUGAAUCCGGGAGAGGGAUGUGGAAUUCCAGGUGUAGCGGUGAAAUGCGUAGAUAUCUGGAGGAACACCGGUGGCGAAGGCGGCAUCCUGGACCGGUAUUGACGCUGAGGCGCGAAAGCUAGGGGAGCAAGCGGG